rnacentral:rRNA from 1 species
UACAGAGGUCUCAAGCGUUGUUCGGAUUCAUUGGGCGUAAAGGGUGCGUAGGUGGCGAUGUAAGUCUGGUGUGAAAUCACGGGGCUCAACCUCGAAAUUGCAUUGGAUACUGCGUUGCUUGAGGAUUGUAGAGGAGAGUGGAAUUCACGGUGUAGCAGUGAAAUGCGUAGAUAUCGUGAGGAAGACCAGUUGCGAGGGCGACUCUCUGGGCAAUUCCUGACACUGAGGCACGAAGGCUAGGGGAGCAAACGGG